AGCUGGCCGCUAGCUUGUCUCCAUGCGCAGCAGUGGUGGGUAGUGAGGGAGGUUCUCUCAUUCAUUCGUUCGUCAAGCACCGGUUUGUCGAACACCUACUAUGCGUCAGACACUGUCCUAGUGCCGGCAGGUCGCCAGGGAGAACGAGAGACCGAGUCCGGCCCUCGUGGAUCUCGCUUCCCGCUCCCUUGAAAGCGCAUUGGCACUGCGAUCCGUGACCGCAUAGACUCGUUUAUUUUUUACUACAUGUGCGCCCCUACCGCCUGUCGGUCACCGUCAGGUAACCCCUGACAGAUGCUCAGAAGUGAGCACUCCGUGACGUUCGGGAGCGAGGUUCGCCAGCAAGGGUCUGGCAGAAAUAACAGUAACUCCGUGUCCGACUCACAUUUCGUGGGGUUUCAACACCUGCAAGGUGAUUCUGCGAUAGCAUUGCAGCUCCUUGGUCUCCACCCAACUAGCUCAUACUCUCAUCCCCAGGAUCACACCCUCGACCUUACCAGUCAUGGGUAACUAAUUACUAGUGACUGUGCCCCCGACGCAUCACUUUCAAGCAGACACUUUAUUUCUUGCUGUCUUCUAGCUCUGAUAAUUUUUCACCUUCAGCAGAACUCCCACCUCUUCCUGGCCUCUGCUCCUGUUCACACCUCCCUGUUUACCCAUUAUAAGCUCCAUGUUCCAUCAUUGUAACUACUCUUCUGCGUGUGCAUCAGCCUCCCUGGCCCUCUUCCUUUCUCCUUGUAUGGAAAAGCCCCUGUUCUCUACGGACUGGAACUGCUCUGAGCAAUUGAAAGUGGUUGGAGAAAAACAAAGCAGCAACAUGCUAACGUGACCCGUCCCUGGAAUCUGUGCUCAUACAUGUCAAGGAGGCCCUGGUGCAGCUAAGUUCCUGAACUGCAUUUCACUGGACCAGUCAUCCAAGGGCGAAAUCUCUUCCUGGACCAUCUUGGGCCCUCUAGGUGUGACUCUGUAAACUAGACUGGGCAAGAUGGAGGAACAGGGGGAAAAGCACACAUUUAUUUAACAGAGGUUUUGUGCGACACGAGAGCCUUUAUAAGGAAAUGAAGACCCGCAAAAGUGGUUACUCCUGUGUUUUUAUGCUUGCUGUGCUAAAGGCUGGAAAGUCCUGGGAAAACACGAUGGGACAAGGGCAGGAGCCCAGCACAGUGACCUGUGGAAACUAGCAAGGCCUUUGUUCUCACCACCUUCAGCACCUCUGUCUUCAGAGUGUUCCUGUCCUCCAGGCUGUCCCUCAGAGUGAUCGGUGUCUGAAUGAUGGGUAUUCCAUGUGGGUACAGAGUGAUCGGCUAUUAGUUGAAGAGUUGGUGGACCAGAGACCUGCUCUCUUAACACCAUAAAGCCUUUCCUUCAACCAGGAGCCACAAAAGUCUUUGGUUCAAGUUGUUUCCACAAGGUGCGUGUGUGAGGCCCCCUUGGGAUGUCCUGGGCUGCCAGCCCCUCUAACAGAGCUCCUUCAUGUUGGGUACCACUGAGAGUCACCCUGGAAACCCUGCGACAGACUGUUCAAGAUGGACAACAUCCGGAAGUUCCAGACACUGGGCGUGUUGGGCACUGCUCCUCGACUCAGACGGCCAUGCUUGUCAUGUAUGAACAAACUCCCUUUGUUCUGUCCUGGGGACACUUGGGACUCUAGGAAACUCCUUCCUGAGUCCAGGGUCAACCUGGAUCUUAUAGAGUUUGAAACCUAGAUCACACUUAAGUUUUACCAUUGCCCAAGGAGCAACUUUCUCACCCAUCCAUUACCAGCCUGUACCCAGGAUGAGAAGUCUAGUUCCAAGAGGCCAGUGGAGCCUAAGAAAGCCUUCAUUACUGACUCACUACUUCUCCAAACCUGCUAUUGACAAGCACUACCUGCUGCUAACUUAGGGGCAGAGCUGCUGGCAUAUUAUGGAAUGUUUUAAGCUUGCUAUGGAAUAUUCUAGAGUCAGCCAUUUCUUUCUCAAAGGUAGCAUCUUACUUGGUCUUGGGUUAAACAUUUCCAACUUUCAAACCUGAGUAACUCUUAAAGAUGGGUCAUUAUGAUUCUUCAAGGUGAUGGGAAGUCAGCUAAAACAACGAUCUUCAUGGUCUAGGUGAGCAUUCGUUUUAAGAUGUGAUGUAUGAUGUAUGUGGUGAGACAAUAAGUGACAGCUGUAAAUCCACUUGUCAGUAAUCUGUGCAUAAGUUAUAUAGAUCAUUCUCUGUAA